UUUCGCGCAUGGUGGAUUCACAAUCCACUGCCUUGAUCCACUUGGCUACAUCCGCC
rnacentral:tRNA from 1 species